rnacentral:rRNA from 1 species
UACAGGGGGUGCUAGCGUUGUUCGGAAUUACUGGGCGUAAAGGGCGCGUAGGCGGCUCAACAAGUCAGAUGUGAAAUCCCGGGGCUUAACUCCGGACGUGCAUUUGAAACUGUUAGGCUAGAGUGCAGUAGAGGAUGGUGGAAUUCCCAGUGUAGAGGUGAAAUUCGUAGAUAUUCGGAAGAACACCAGUGGCGAAGGCGACUCACUGGACACAUAUUGACGCUGAGGUGCGAAAGCGUGGGGAGCAAACAGG